rnacentral:lncRNA from 12 species
AUUCCAGAACAUAUGAAUUCAAGAACUGAAGUCUGCGUAUUAAAUUGAUGUCAUAAUAAAUAAAGAACAUAUUUUUUAGUAUCACUUAAAUAUUCUUUACAUCCAAAGGAUCAUUUUUGUUAAUGAAUAUAUUUAGAAGAUCCGAGGGAAAAAAAAAAAGAAGAAUCAUUGCCCCACUUUAUAUUUGGAUUUCUUGGUCAUCCAGGAUCCUGGUUUCAAAGAAACUCUAACAAAUGUAUCAAACCUAACAUCAGUAACUACUAUCAGAAGAGAAAGCCCUUCAGAUACUGCUCAGGGACAGUUUUUAGUCACUUUUGAAGGCACAAAUACCUUUUCUCCAUGCUUUAAUAUGCCCAAGCAAGAGAUGGUGACGAGGAUUGUUAUCUUCACCAUGAAGUUAGGGAAUUUACAACUACUCCCAUACAGUAUUCACAAUCUCCACUUUUCCAAGGAAAACAACUUUUGCUGUUGCCAAAUAAACUAUUUUGUUCAGCUGGUGGAAAGAUACAAUGUUUAUUCUGAUAAACCAGGAGUCUAUGGAACCUCACAAUGCUCAUUCUGCAAGACUCUGUUAAACAUCAUCCAAGAAGAGGAUGUGAAAUAAUGAACCAGUCUAAUAAUGUCAACUCACUUCCACGUUUG